AGUGCCUACUGUGUGCCAAGACA
rnacentral:miRNA from 1 species